rnacentral:rRNA from 1 species
AUUGAACGCUGGCGGUAUGCCUUACACAUGCAAGUCGAACGGUAGAGGGGCAACCCUUGAGAGUGGCGAACGGGUGAGUAAUACAUCGGAACGUGCCCAGUCGUGGGGGAUAACGUAGCGAAAGCUACGCUAAUACCGCAUACGACCUGAGGGUGAAAGCGGGGGAUCGCAAGACCUCGCGCGAUUGGAGCGGCCGAUGGCAGAUUAGGUAGUUGGUGGGGUAAAGGCCUACCAAGCCUGCGAUCUGUAGCUGGUCUGAGAGGACGACCAGCCACACUGGGACUGAGACACGGCCCAGACUCCUACGGGAGGCAGCAGUGGGGAAUUUUGGACAAUGGGCGCAAGCCUGAUCCAGCCAUACCGCGUGCGGGAAGAAGGCCUUCGGGUUGUAAACCGCUUUUGUCAGGGAAGAAAUCUUCUGGGCUAAUACCUCGGGAGGAUGACGGUACCUGAAGA